rnacentral:rRNA from 1 species
GAGAUAGAGCUUCCCCUUCGGGGGCAAAGUGACAGGUGGUGCAUGGUUGUCGUCAGCUCGUGUCGUGAGAUGUUGGGUUAAGUCCCGCAACGAGCGCAACCCUUAUUGUUAGUUGCCAUCAUUUAGUUGGGCACUCUAGCGAGACUGCCGGUGACAAACCGGAGGAAGGUGGGGAUGACGUCAAAUCAUCAUGCCCCUUAUGACCUGGGCUACACACGUGCUACAAUGGGAAGUACAACGAGUUGCGAAGUCGCGAGGCUAAGCUAAUCUCUUAAAGCUUCUCUCAGUUCGGAUUGUAGGCUGCAACUCGCCUACAUGAAGCCGGAAUCGCUAGUAAUCGCGGAUCAGCACGCCGCGGUGAAUACGUUCCCGGGCCUUGUACACACCGCCCGUCACACCACGAGAGUUUGUAACACCCGAAGUCGGUGAGGUAACCUUUUUGGAGCCAGCCGCCUAAGGUGGGAUAGAUGAUUGGGGUGAAGUCGUAACAAGGUAGCCGUAUCGGAAGGUGCGGCU